AAGCGCUGAACUUCUUCGUCUUUAUCCUGGAAAAACAGCGCUGAACUUCUUUAUCUCCACACCACUCCCAUGACAACCGUCUCAAAUUUUCUUGGAAAUUUCGGCACCGAUUUGUCUGCAGCCAUAUUAUUCACCCUCUGCGCCAUCUUUGCCGUCCUUUGGUAUACGUGGGCGUAUGUCAACUCCAAGAAAGGGAGCUUGCCACUGCCACCAGGCCCUCCAGGCCUCCCUUUCAUCGGCAACCUCGCCUCGCUUGACCCGGAUCUUCACUCAUACUUUGCAUCCUUGGCCCGUACUUACGGGCCAAUCUUGAAGCUUCGCCUCGGAUACAAGCUUGGAAUCGUGGUCAACUCCCCAUCUCUGGCCCGAGAAGUUCUCAAAGACCAGGACAUAACCUUUGCUAAUCGAGAUGUCCCGGAUGUGGCCCGAUCUGCCGCUUACGGUGGUUCCGAUAUCGUUUGGACUCCAUAUGGGCCAGAGUGGAGGAUGCUGCGAAAGGUGUGUGUUCUCAAAAUGCUUAGCAACACUACCUUGGACUCCGUUUACACCCUUCGCCGCCAUGAGGUCCGACAAACCGUGAGUUACCUUUAUAGUAAGGCUGGGUCACCCGUGAACUUUGGAGAGCAAGUCUUUUUAUCUAUACUAAACGUGAUAACCAAUAUGUUGUGGGGAGGCACGGUACAAGGGAAGCAGAGGGCUAGCCUAGGAGCAGAGUUUAGGGAAGUGGUUGCGGACAUGACUGAGUUAUUGGGCAAGCCCAAUGUUUCGGAUUUUUUUCCGGGUUUGGGGCGGUUUGAUUUGCAAGGCCUGCUGAAGAAGAUGGAUAGGUUGGCGAAGCAGUUUGAUGGCAUAUUUGAGAAGAUGAUUGAUAAAAGGGUGAAGAUGGACGGAGAUGGCAGGGAUAGUGGCAAAGAUUGUAAAGACUUCUUGCAGUUCUUGUUGCAGGUGAAGGACGAGGGAGAUACCAAGACACCGCUUACCAUGACCCACCUCAAAGCGUUGCUCAUGGAUAUGAUUGUGGGUGGUACAGACACAUCCUCAAACUCAAUUGAGUUUGCCAUGGCAGAAAUAAUGAACAAGCCAGAAGUGAUGAAAAAAGCUCAGCAAGAAUUGGAUGCAGUAGUUGGAAAGAACAACACAGUAGAAGAGUCUCACAUACACCAAUUGCCUUAUCUAUGUGCCAUCAUGAAAGAGUCAUUGCGGCUGCACCCUGCACUCCCUCUGUUAGUCCCUCACUGUCCAAGUGAAACCUGCAUUGUGGGAGGCUACACUAUUCCUAAGGGUGCUCGAGUUUUCAUUAACGUGUGGGCGAUCCAUAGAGACCCUUCAGCUUGGGAAAAUCCAUUGGAGUUUAGACCUGAGAGGUUUUUGGAUAGUCAAUGGGACUACAGUGGAAGUGACUUCAGUUAUUUCCCAUUUGGGUCUGGACGCAGAAUUUGUGCCGGGAUCGCAAUGGCUGAGAGGAUAUUUUUGUAUUCACUUGCUACCCUUCUCCACUCUUUUGAUUGGACAUUGCCAGAAGGAAAAAUUAUGGAUCUUUCAGAGAAGUUUGGAAUUGUUUUGAAGUUGAAGAAUCCUCUGCUGGCCAUUCCAACACCAAGGUUAUCCGAUCCUGCACUCUAUGAAUAGGUCCUAAUUGCACAAAUAGUUAUAUAUUGUACGUCAAAUCAUAAGCCGUCCCAAGCAAACAUAAAACUUUGUUGUUCAAAAAGGCCAAAAAAAAAAAAAAAUCUCUCGAAGGCUUAUGAUGUAAUUUGCAUUAUUCUCUGCUUCUGUAUUUAUAUUGAGUGUUAAAUCCCAUCAGACUUGGUUGAAUUGGUAUCUUCAAUUUAUUUCAAUAGAUUUCCAUUGGUUUUUCAAUUUGCA
rnacentral:misc_RNA from 1 species